ACAUCUCCGAACUGAUUAAACAUCAACUAUUAAACCUGCGUAUUCGUAAUAACUACGUUAAAAGAUAAUGAUCGGUGUCUUCCCUCCCGCCCACCUUACCUGAGCUCCUCAGAUGUCUGUUUGCCACCGCGUCAUGAGGACGGGGCGAGUGUUUCCUUCCCCCGGCGCAUGCGCUCUGGGCUGCGGAAGCGAGAGCUUUUUAUUUUUUCCCCGUGUCACACACGCGAAGAGAAAACAGGAGCGCAGCUUCUGGGAUUGUAGUAGCGACAGUAAGCCCGGAAGAGUUUUGUUUUCUGCCCUGGUAAAGAUAUAAGCGCAUGACAAUCCGGUGGCAUGUGUGCGUUAAUGGUUGCAGUGUGCAGAACACUUUGCAGGUGGUGGGAUGCAGCCGUGCUCUGAUCACUGUUUUAAUAAUAACCUCUUUUAUUUAUAUUGGCCUUUAUGUCUCAAAUUGAAAUACCAAAGGGCAAAUUCACAUGCUGAUGAUGGCAAGCUACUGGGUUGUUGCUACGGAAACUGUUGAGUCUCAAACCGGUUUUUGCCCAAUUGGUCAAACAAGACCAAGACCUAACAAUCCGAGACAGAGGCCAAGACUGGGAGAAAAAUCAGGAAUCGAGCCCUCCUUCACUGGUGAACCUUCAUUGGGAAUAUUUGAUCCUCUAAACAUCACCUGAGAAUGAAGAUUCCACAGGGGUCGGUGAUAUCCGCCAGAGACUGCUCUCAGGAAAACAGCAGGAACCCUCUGAGAUGGGAUCUUUCCCCGGACGAGAUCAGGAUCGUCACAGACACGUUGAUAGCCAGAGUGAAGAAGGUCUACGACGAUGUCGGAUCUCUGCACAUAGAAAGUGUCUCUGCUGAAAACACGCUGGAAGCCCUGGCUAACGCUAAGCUGGACUACGCAUAAAAUGAUGAAGAGGUGCCACAAUCCUGAGACCCGGAGGAAGAUGGAAACGGCUUUCCACAGCAGGUGUAAACAGGUGAAGACAAUGAUUCUUGAACAGCUAAUCCAACUAAGGGCAAAGGUGGCAGACUUACUCGGUUACAGCAGCCAUGCAAACUAUGUGCUGGAGAUUAACAUGGCUAAACACGCAGGCAAUGUGUCCGGCUUUAUAGGUACGAGCCUUCUGAGACACACUACAAGAGAUGAGAGAGAUGUCACGCUACAUAUCUGGCAAAGAUCCAUCAACUGUCAUCAGGAUGUGUGAUGUAAGAACUGUUUACAAAAACUGUUUACAUAUUUACCUAUUCCUCUUUCUUGAUAUCAUUUCUUAAAAAUCUUUUUGUAGCAUUUGUGUUUGCAAAAACUUAUUUUUAGUCCUUGUCAAGAGACAUGACUUCCUGUUUACUACAGCCAUGCAUAACAUCAAAAUUUGAUGUAAUUACUUUGUGUAUCCUGAUUGAUUUUGUUCAAAGCCAUUUGAUGGAAACAUGCCUUGUUUGCAUUUUCUAAAUGUUAAUACUAAUGGUUAUGCACUAAAACAUUUAGUAUUGUGCUGAAUUCGUGGAAAACCUCUCAGGGUUUUUGUGAGUUUGUUAAAACACUGAUCGUUUUGCACUUUUUGGACUGUUUUUGAGAGAUGGUAGCUAGUUGUAUUGACUUUGCACUGCCACUGUUCAACGUGGUUAGAAUGUUUUUAAAAUAAUGGUCUAAUUUCUAUGGAGGACUGAAACUCGCCUAUAAAAUACACUUAAAAUGCACCAAUUAAAUAAAUAAGAGAUCUUCACCACAUAUCUUAUAAUUUUUCCUUGAUAUUUUUCCAGCUUAUUUCCUACAAACUAUUUUUUUAGCACAUAAUUUAAUACAUAUGUGUGUUUGUCCUUUACUUGUAGAUGCAGUCAUGUCUUAAGUGUGUGUGUGUGUGUGUGUGUGUGUCCCCUUCCCCAAGUCUUUUUAAUUGUUAUUUUUACAUAUAUCUGUCUUGUAUUAGGCCUCAUUUUGCUAAUAAGGUGUGCUGUCUUUCUUGGGUCAGCUCCUCCACUAUUGGUCAGCAGACAGGAAGGAGAAGAAUCCAUGUGCAGAUCUGUUGGCCAAUAGUUGAACUUACCCGAGAAGGACAAUCCCCCUUAAGAUGGUCCCCACAGCCAGCUGACAUUAGAAAAAUAUCACUGCCCACCUUAUUUGGACAAUAAAGCAGAAAUGCAUAAGGUAAAGUAAAAACAUGAGACAUGUAAAAGCAACUCCUGGAAAAAAAAAAAGUUUUUGGGAAAAAAUGAUAAAAAUAAACAUUUAAGAGUCAUAAAUGAAUCUACAAGUAAAGGGUAAAAACAUUUUUUUAAAUGAUAAACUGUAAAUUGUGCUAAAAUCUAUAAUUUGUUGGAACUAAGGUGGAAAAUAAAUAUGGACAUUAUAGAUGGUCAAUGAAAUUAAUAAAACAUUAGGUAAAGUUCUUACUUGGAGCCUUUUAAGUGCAUUUAUUUAUUGAGAUUUAUAUAGAAAAAAUAGUUCUGUUUUUAUUUGUCAAAAUGUUUUUUCUGUCUGUCAGUUUUGGUCCUCCAAUAAAUGUCAACACUUCUGCUUGUCUUGGACAAAUGUUUUCUUUUACACUUGAUUUAAGGGCUUGUCUCAUAUUUGAUAGAGAAAGAUGAAAAUAAAUGUAUAAUAUUUGA